UCUCCGUAGGUGAACCUGCGGAGGGAUCAUUACCGAGUGAGGGUUCCGGCCCGACCUCCAACCCUUUGUGAAUUCGACCCAGUUGCCUCGGGGGCGACCCGGCCUUCGGGCGUCGGGGCCCCCGGUGGACCACCCAACCCUGCGUAACUAAGUCGUCGGAGUUUAAACAAAUUAAACAAAACUUUCAACAACGGAUCUCUUGGUUCGGGCAUCGAUGAAGAACGCAGC
rnacentral:misc_RNA from 1 species